rnacentral:rRNA from 1 species
UACGAAGGGGGCUAGCGUUGCUCGGAAUCACUGGGCGUAAAGCGCACGUAGGCGGAUUGCUAAGUCAGGGGUGAAAUCCUGGAGCUCAACUCCAGAACUGCCUUUGAUACUGGCGACCUUGAGUCCGGGAGAGGUGAGUGGAACUGCGAGUGUAGAGGUGAAAUUCGUAGAUAUUCGGAGGAACACCAGUGGCGAAGGGCGGCUCACUGGUCCGGUACUGACGCUGAGG